rnacentral:rRNA from 1 species
CACGUAGGCACCAAGCGUUGUCCGGAUUUAUUGGGCGUAAAGAGCUCGUAGGCGGUUCGGUAAGUCGGGUGUGAAAACUCUGGGCUCAACCCAGAGCCGCCACCCGAUACUGCUGUGACUCGAGUGCGGUAGGGGAGCGGGGAAUUCCUGGUGUAGCGGUGAAAUGCGCAGAUAUCAGGAGGAACACCGGUGGCGAAGGCGCUGCUCUGGGCCGGUACUGACGCUGAGGAGCGAAAGCGUGGGUAGCAAACAGG